CUCUUAAUGUCCAGCCUGGGACCUGCGCCCCUGGCCCAUUGUUAGCCGGCUUUUCCACGGCAGCUUCGCAUCUGGUUCCUGCGGGCAGCGGAAAACGAGAGGCGGCUCUCGAAGCCUGCUGAUCUUCCUUCGCCAUCAACUUCUCAGGAGUGGCUGGAGAAAGAUAGAUGCAUGUGCCAAGAGAGACAGCAGCCCCAGGUCCUUGUGUCCAAAUCCCCGUAGCCUGGGCGGCGGCCAGCCAAAACAAUGCCGUCCCGAGCAGGCUCGUGCGGCUCCUGGCACUCUGGGUUUCAUACCCGUAGGGCUCGGGUGCGGCCAAAAGAGAGUACGGAUCAAGAGCAGGAGGAUAGACGACAUGGGGAAAGCCCCUUUGGCCGUGAGACUCCCUGCGUUCUGCGGCAGCCUGGUUUUGUAUCCUCAAGAUUUUCCUAAAACAUGAAAAGGGUUCCUAAACGCUGCUCUCUGGGACUCAGCAGAGAGGAAAUAAAUCCACAGAAUGGCAGAUGCUGAAUUCCGGGGAGGAAUUUGAUGCUGAGAUUCAUGGAAGGGGUUCCUUCCAAUCCAAGGAAGACCUGGAGGACUAUGAAGCUCAGUCCUUUUUCUGGAGACCUAAGGGAGAGUAGGUCCCUUUUGAGGUGAAUUUAGAAGAGACCCCCCCCCCAUCUUCUUUAGGCGUGAUAAUGAACCGCGAAGCAUCCUCAGUGGACCUGGAAUUCGAUAGCUUGUGGGAAGAGCUUAAGACCUUGUGCGGUUCCAAGGUUGAGGCCUUGGCCGAUGGGCUUUCGGUGCGGGGGAAUGGAGAGGAGCCCCGGGUUCUUGGUGUCGGCGUCCCGCACCUGUGCGCCUCCCGCUGAGCCCCAGGCCUGCCGCCUUUGUUUCUGUCAGGCCAGUCGGCACUUAGCAGCCUGGCGCCCUGCUUGGGCGGCAGCUGGGAACCAGGCAGCUCAGCGGGCCGGGAGCAGGGCAUUUCCCGAGCUGCGGCAGCCACUUGAAACCGCGGCCUCUAUCCCCAGAACUCGCCGAGCUUCCAAGGCAGACACGGGACCAGGCCGAACACCGGAGUCGCGGUGCUGCGGCAGCCGCUGCCAGUUCGCUUCUGCCAGAACUCCACGCAGAGACCCGUGUCCAGCCAAAGAACCCGCUUUGACACGGAUCGUAAUCAGAAUAAAAACUUUAUUUUUUUUUUGUUUUGUUUCUCAGAAUGUGAGCAGCAAGGAAUGUAAAACUCUCAAAACAAAUCUAGUAUUUUUAGCGUUCAGUUUGGCCAGAUGUUACAAACCUAAACCACUAUUUUCAAACUCUGGGUCCUCUCUGUUCUUAUUGCAUUGCUACGGUUUUCAUAAAGGAAUUUUAUUUCCCUUUCAAAUAAAUUUUAUAUGUAUGCCAAUACACCAUUGAACAAAAGGCUCAAGAAACCUUCUGAACAAUCAGGGUACAGAAUUUCUUUAAUAUAAAUACGAACGGAUGGGGAUAAAUAAUAUUUAAAACUUAGACUAUUCAAUGCUUGCAAAAAAUAUAAAUAAAUCUGACUGUUCACCAGCACACACAC
rnacentral:lncRNA from 1 species